CUACGGGGGGCAGCAGUGAGGAAUUUUGCGCAAUGGGGGAAACCCUGACGCAGCAACGCCGCGUGAGUGAUGAAGGCUUUCGAGUCGUAAAGCUCUGUCAAGUGGGAAGAACCUACUAAGUGCCAAUACCACUUAGUACUGACGGUACCACUGAAGGAAGCACCGGCUAACUCCGUGCCAGCAGCCGCGGUAAUACGGGGGGUGCAAGCGUUGCUCGGAAUUAUUGGGCGGAAAGGGCGCGCAGGCGGCCAGGUAAGUCAGAUGUGAAAGCCCGGGGCUCAACCCCGGAAGGGCAUUUGAAACUACUUGGCUUGAGUAUGGGAGAGGGAAGUGGAAUUCCUGGUGUAGAGGUGAAAUUCGUAGAUAUCAGGAGGAACACCGGUGGCGAAGGCGACUUCCUGGACCAAUACUGACGCUGAGGCGCGAAGGCGUGGGUAGCAAACAGGAUUAGAUACCCCUGUAGUC
rnacentral:rRNA from 1 species